rnacentral:rRNA from 1 species
AUUGAACGCUGGCGGCAGGCCUAACACAUGCAAGUCGAGCGGAUGAAGGGAGCUUGCUCCUGGAUUCAGCGGCGGACGGGUGAGUAAUGCCUAGGAAUCUGCCUGGUCGUGGGGGAUAGCGUCCGGAAACGGGCGCUAAUACCGCAUACGUCCUGAGGGAGAAAGUGGGGGAUCUUCGGACCUCACGCUAUUAGAUGAGCCUAGGUCGGAUUAGCUAGUUGGUGGGGUAACGGCCUACCAAGGCGACGAUCCGUAACUGGUCUGAGAGGAUGAUCAGUCACACUGGAACUGAGACACGGUCCAGACUCCUACGGGAGGCAGCAGUGGGGAAUCUUGGACAAUGGGCGAAAGCCUGAUCCAGCCAUGCCGCGUGUGUGAAGAAGGUCUUCGGAUUGUAAAGCACUUUAAGUUGGGAGGAAGGGAAGUAAGUUAAUACCUUGCUGUUUUGACGGUACCAACAGAAUAAGCACCGGCUAACUUCGUG